AACGAACGCUGGCGGCAGGCUUAACACAUGCAAGUCGAACGGUUGUAGCAAUACAGCAGUGGCGCACGGGUGAGUAACGCGUGGGAACGUGCUCUUCCGUUCUGGAUAACCACUGGAAACGGAGGCUAAUACAAAAUAUUCCCUUCGGGGGAAAGAUUUAUCGCUGAAGGAUCGGCCCGCGUUAGAUUAGGUAGUUGGUGGGGUAAUGGCCUACCAAGCCUACGAUCUAUAGCUGGUCUGAGUGGAUGAUCAGCCACACUGGAACUGAGACACGGUCCAGACUCCUACGGGAGGCAGCAGUGGGGAAUAUUGGACAAUGGGCGAAAGCCUGAUCCAGCCAUGCCGCGUGAGUGAUGAAGGCCUUAGGGUUGUAAAGCUCUUUUGUCAGGGAAGAUAAAGACGGUACCUGAAGAAUAAGCACCGGCUAACUUCGUGCCAGCCGCCGCAGUAA
rnacentral:rRNA from 1 species